UUUGGCCUACGGGGCGCAGCAGUGGGGAAUAUUGCACAAUGGGCGAAAGCCUGAUGCAGCAACGCCGCGUGAGCGAUGAAGGCCUUCGGGUCGUAAAGCUCUGUCCUCAAGGAAGAUAAUGACGGUACUUGAGGAGGAAGCCCCGGCUAACUACGUGCCAGCAGCCGCGGUAAUACGUAGGUGGCAAGCGUUGUCCGGAUUUACUGGGUGUAAAGGGCGUGUAGCCGGGUUGACAAGUCAGAUGUGAAAUCCUGCGGCUUAACCGCAGAACUGCAUUUGAAACUGUUGAUCUUGAGUACUGGAGG
rnacentral:rRNA from 1 species